CCUGUGCCUUUUAGACCCACACCAGCUACUUUUUUGUUCACAAUUGGACGGGUUGCUUUCAAAAGGCACUGCAAUAAAAUAGAAGACGUAAAUGCACAGUAAACAUUCACUGUGGGUUCAGUGUAGGUGACAGCUAUGUUCUGGAGGGUGGGCCACUGCUGAACUAGCCACACUGGGCACCAUCAAAGGAGGGGGCUAGCGGGAUCCUCAGGUCUCCUGCCUUUGGAGGAGAGACAAAAGAGGCUCCUGGAAAUGACCUUGAAUCCCGAACUGGUCUUGGCAGAGGGAAGGGCAUGAGCUAAUGCUGAAAGCAGGGAGGUCAAGUGUGUUUGGGACUCUCCAGCAGCUGGGCAUGGUGAGGGGCAUACUGGCAGGCCAAGGUCAUGGUGGCAAGAUGAGCACAGGCUCUUGAGCCAUGCCGAGGGCUGUCUGUUUGUUCCCAAGACUACUGUUGCUCAGCUGGUGGCUUCCAGACCUUUUCCUUGGGAAGGACCAUGGGCCUCAGCAGGAGUCAGCUUUGUGCCUGUUCCCUGUCCCUCCUUCCCAGAAAGUCCUGC
rnacentral:lncRNA from 1 species